rnacentral:rRNA from 1 species
UGGCUCAGGAUGAACGCUGGCGGCGUGCUUAACACAUGCAAGUCGAACGAUGAUCCGGUGCUUGCACCGGGGAUUAGUGGCGAACGGGUGAGUAACACGUGAGUAACCUGCCCUUAACUCUGGGAUAAGCCUGGGAAACUGGGUCUAAUACCGGAUAUGACUGAUCAUCGCAUGGUGGUUGGUGGAAAGCUUUUUGUGGUUUUGGAUGGACUCGCGGCCUAUCAGCUUGUUGGUGAGGUAAUGGCUUACCAAGGCGACGACGGGUAGCCGGCCUGAGAGGGUGACCGGCCACACUGGGACUGAG